UUUAUCGAUCGGAUUUUUCAGAAUAAAAUACUAUGGAAACCACACAGAUGAUAUAAUUGCAAGGUUUGAUUUUUUAGUGUAGGUUUGGAAUGAGAGAUACGUUUACAAAACACUAACAUUUCAUUGUUAGACCCAAAAAUAUUACCAACUAUGCGAGAGCAUAACACUAUAGGUUGAGGAUGGAGUGUCUUGGAGGGUUCUGCAGCGUUCUUCCGUGGUAGCUAGUGGUCUGAUUCGCCGACGAAGAUUUACUCAAAAAGCCUGGUGAAAUUGGGGGAAUUUGGAAAUUGAACGUCCCCGUGCUUUUGAGUUUUAAAGUGAUCGCAGUCUUUAAGGAUCUUAUUGUGCAGUGAAGUCCAAAAUGCCCAAACAGAGCUCCCAUUCUACAGUCAGCUCCAAGCGUAAAGGCACUAUAGGGAGUACUUCCAGCAGAUUGAAGUCUAAAAAGAAGUUGAAGUUGAACGUGCAGAACGGCAAAUUCAUAAUGCCCGGCCCUGCGCCCAACCACUACAACCCAGACCUCAACAGCGUCUGCCCUCGAGCUCCCGCCGUGUCGUUUGGCUACAAGCACUCGCUCCAGAAGCUGGUUCUGUUUCAAGAAAACGACUUCAAUUAUUACAUAGACUUCAAUAAGAACAAAAAUGAUAAAUAAAACAACAUAAAUUUUUUCGA